rnacentral:rRNA from 1 species
AGGUCGACCCGCUGAAUUUAAGCAUAUCACUAAGCGGAGGAAAAGAAACUAACUAGGAUUCCCUUAGUAACGGCGAGUGAAGAGGGAGAAGCCCAGCACCGAAGCCUGCGGCAGUUUUGCUGUUAGGCAAUGUGGUGUUUGGGUCGACUGGCGGGAUUGCCACUCCGCUCGAAGUCCAGCAUUGAGUAUGGUACCCUGGAUUUGGCCCAUAGAGGGUGAAAGGCCCGUGCGAGCGGAGUUUCAGACAUGAAAGGCAGUUCAUCAGGUCGACCUUCGAGUCGGGUUGUUUGAGAAUGCAGCCCUAAGCGGGUGGUAAACUCCAUCCAAGGCUAAAUACAAGCACGAGUCCGAUAGCGAACAAGUACCGUGAGGGAAAGUUGAAAAGUACUCUGAAGAGAGAGUAAACAGUGCGUGAAACCGUAUAAAGGUAAACGGGUGGCGUCAAGCUGCAAGCCCUGAGGAUUCAGUCGGCCAUUGUGUUGUGUAUAUGCCUUGUGUUUCUCAGUCGGUGAUAGUGAGCGGUCCGCUUGGAAAUGGUGGGCCAGGCCGCAAGGUCUGGAUGUACGAACCACGUGUUUGGUGGUGUACGCCGCUCGACUAUUGGACUGGAUGGCCGAUGCACUUCCUCUGUAUGGGUGAACACCACGACCGGUGGAACUGCCAGUCUGGCUUAGCCAAGUUGCGCCUGGUCCGGCAUUCGUGUCGACUAGGUGCGAUCGCAGGCAAAUUCGGUGGACGGUGAACGGCCCUUCGGGGCUGUUCAUGUUAUCGGUCACUGGUUGUCAACGGGUCUGUCUGUCGGUGGUUGCAGUCCUCGAUGGAUGACCCGGCGGGCUUUGCUGGUAUGAAUAACUGUGCAGUGCACCGGAGAUGUCGGUCUCAAAUCCGGUCAGCGUGCACACUGCAAGUGUGAAAUGGCGGCGCCAUCGCGGCCUGUCGAUGGUUGGGUCUGAUCGUCGUGUUGCCUGCGCAAAGUGGGCCCGGCGGUGGCCUGACCUCGGAUGGUGCUGUUGGUGGCGUUGCUGUGUGCUGGCCGGUGCGGACCAGAUAGUCUGUGGUGUAGUGGUAGACU